CACUCCUGCGGGAGGCAGCAGUGGGGAAUAUUGCACAAUGGGCGCAAGCCUGAUGCAGCCAUGCCGCGUGUAUGAAGAAGGCCUUCGGGUUGUAAAGUACUUUCAGCGGGGAGGAAGGCGAUAAGGUUAAUAACCUUGUUGAUUGACGUUACCCGCAGAAGAAGCACCGGCUAACUCCGUGCCAGCAGCCGCGGUAAUACGGAGGGUGCAAGCGUUAAUCGGAAUUACUGGGCGUAAAGCGCACGCAGGCGGUCUGUCAAGUCGGAUGUGAAAUCCCCGGGCUCAACCUGGGAACUGCAUUCGAAACUGGCAGGCUAGAGUCUUGUAGAGGGGGGUAGAAUUCCAGGUGUAGCGGUGAAAUGCGUAGAGAUCUGGAGGAAUACCGGCGGCGAAGGCGGCCCCCUGGACAAAGACUGACGCUCAGGUGCGAAAGCGUGGGGAGCAAACAGGAUUAGAAACCCCAGUAGUCCC
rnacentral:rRNA from 1 species